rnacentral:lncRNA from 1 species
CAAUUUGGAAAAGGAAAGCAUGAGAAGCACACUACAGAGACUGAUCUAGAGAAGUUAUCACUGUGCUGGGUGGGAGUCAUUCAUCUGUCUGCUCUGGGAGUUACAGAUUCACAUGAAGUCCCAGGAUAGCUUCUGUCGGCUUUGGUGGCCUGUUGCAGCAGCCAGCAGCAGGAAACUUGAGGAGCUAUCAUCUCAGGAAUGAACGGGGCCACAUCAAUAAGGAGACCUGUAAUGAUGUGGCUCUAAAUGUCAGCUUUAAAAGCCUGGGAAUUGAUAGAGGAAGAGAGAAGAAAGGGUGUCCCAGUUUUCCACAUGCCGAAUGAUUCAGCAAAAUAAUGUGAGCAAGUCAAGACUCUGGAAAAUAUUUUUAGAUGCCAAACAAAAACCUGGAGGUAAAUCUCUGCUACACUGUCAGUUAGGUUCUUAGCAUCCAGUUUGAUUUGUUGUACUUUAAAAUGAAUGGAAGAAAUUAUAAGGAGCACAGAUAACUACAAAUAAUUCAAGGUUUGGGAAAAUGAAAUUGAAUAUAAAACUAUGAAAUGUUAUAGUAGCUAUAAAAUCCUAGUUUUUCAGUGUAGAAGAGUAAAGGUUAAAGAAUGACAGAAACUGUCUUGAAAUAGACAAAAGGAUAUAAAUAUCACAAUUAUAUCACUAGAGUAAACUUUAGAUUUCUUUUCCCAACCCAUAUCCUGACUGUCUACCACCAACCACCAUUUGACAGCAGAAGACACUGAGGCCAGGCAGGUGAAGCUGUUUGUUCAAGAACCAGAGUUGUUUCAUGGGAGAUCUAGAGAUUAGAGCCCAAGCAUCCUGACUUGUAGUUCUCUUUCCAUUUCUUAAGAUACAACCAUUAGGUAAUUUUAUGGAUUUUUUUCCCACAAAUAUACCAGGAUCUACGAUUGAUAUGAGCAUUCGCAUCAUUGUAACUGCUUCAGAAAGCUGGAAUAAUAGAACAUUUUAAAGUACUUCUUUUGGAACUAUUUGUAGACCCAAUUUAAAAGCCAGAAAAAGAACCUCACUGCUCUAUAAUUUUUAUUCUGAAAUAUUUGCUUAUGAUCUAUAAUGCAUUACCCAGCUUAAAUAAUAGAUGAAUCCAGCAACUUGUUUCUGAGUGACUUUUUGUCGUUGUUAAAAGUCAAAUCCAUCUUAGAGGACAGAGAUUUUUCCCCAGAAACUCUGAUGAAGGAAGGCUUUGAAAGUAAUUCCAGGAAAGUCUUGAAAUAUUUUGAGAUAUGGCAACAAUGUUGCCAUAAUGUGAAUAUUUUUCUUUUGAAUAUUUCUUUUAGUAAUGCUAUGGUAUUAACAGUUUUUAAAAUAAAUCCUUUUCUUUUACAGCCCAUUCCAUUUGACUUGAGAUAUUAAAAUCUUAUGACAAUCUAUAAGCCAGACCAGUAGAAAUGUGACAACCUCUUUAUAGUCUUUAACUCUGCAACAGCUUUACAAUUAUAGAGAUUAGAGAACCAUUAGAAUUGUGAUACAAGUAAUAUAAGUAUAGGUUUUAACACUGUCAUCUGUCACUGCCAUGUUCCUAACAUAUAUAGAUAAAGUAUAGUUUUAAAAAAGGAAUAUAAAAUACAUUAUUAAUAUGCUUUUUAAAGUAAAUAAAUACAGUUGUGGCCAGAAAUGGGAACAUUGUUUAUGGAUAGCUAAGGUAUAGUAAAGUCAUUGCUUUAUUUUGGAGAAAGACAGAAAAAUACAAGAUAACUCUAGACUUCCUUACAAAAAAAGAUAUAUAUACACACACACAUUAAAAUUCAAAGAUAAACACUAAAAUAAUAGAUAAGUAACUCUUGCUUCUAGAAGUGUCCCCCAUGUGGUAGAGUACUACAGCCUAGCUAAUUGCUUAAAGCUGCAAUUAGGGACGCUGAAGUGGAAACACCCACCACCUUUGAAAUGAGGUUUAAAAAGCUUAAAAUAAUUCUUGCUUAUGGUGAAGGCUUAUGCAAAGUCACUAGGGAAGCUAGAGAGAGCAGACACACUUUGCAGUCAGGAACUGACUCUACACCUAGCUUAGUAACUGGGUCAGCAUGUUGACCAUAACAGCAGAGAUGCUGUAAACCAUGAAUAUAAGGCUUAUAAAUUAAAAUUCCAAAAAGAUGGCAGGAAGAAAGAAAACCAACAAAAUCAACAAUCAGAAAGUAAAUUGUUCCAGAUAAAAUGAGCAUGUAAGAGCAAUCUGAAAAUGAUUUGAAAAUAAACAUGAUUAGGAUACUCAAAGAAAUAAAGAAGGAAAUUUCUGAUAGAGAAAGAAAUUAUGAAACCAGACAAGACAGAAAUGAUACAAAAACAAAAGCAUUUG